rnacentral:misc_RNA from 1 species
GAUGAAGAACGUAGCGAAAUGCGAUAAGUAAUGUGAAUUACAGAAUUCAGUGAAUCAUCGAAUCUUUGAACGCACAUUGCGCCCCUUGGUAUUCCGAGGGGCAUGCCUGUUCGAGCGUCAUUAUAACCCCUCAAGCUCAGCUUGGUGUUGGGGCCUGCUGCACUGGCAGCCCUUAAAAUCAGUGGCGGCGCCAUCUGGCUCUAAGCGUAGUAAUUCUUCUCGCUAUGGAGUCCUGGUGGAUGCUUGCCAUCAACCCCCAAUUUUUCUAUGGUUGACCUCGGAUCAGGUAGGGAUACCCGCUGAACUUAAGCAUAUCAAAAGCGGAGGA